GGGGGGGGGGGGGGGGGGGGGGGGGGGGGGGGGGGGGGGGGGGGGGGGGGGGGGGGGGGGGGGGGGGGGGGUGCAGCCCGGCCCGCCCGCCCCCCUGCCCUCCCCGCUGCCCUCCGUGCUCCCGUCCGCUCUGCUCGUGCCCAGCCCGAGGAGCAGCCCGGUGCCCAGCCCCGGCAGGAGCAGUUACGGAGCGUUAAACUCGAGCGCUCUGACGCACACGAGAGCCGUGCCAAGGGGAACAGGGACAACGGCUGCUGACGUGUUGGCAGCGAGCAGGAAGCCCGCUGUGGGCAGUUCAAGCUCCCAGGGGAUCUUGGGCACCACAGGUGCGCCUCAGGUCCGCGGCAGAGGGGCUGGGGAAGGUGAUCCAAAGGGAAAAGGCUCCCUGAAUGCUCCUUCUGGCUGGACAGCAAAAGGCAUUGAUCGGCAGACACCCGAACCAGAAAGGCUGGCAUCCUACAGACCUCCCUUCCCUGGGCUCCAGGAGGAAACUCUGGGCUCUGCUGCAACCGAUUUAGCUGAUAAUGCUGGGGAAAGCCUAAAUACUACUGAGAGUAAUGAGCCAGCUUUGCUUAAAACAGCUCUUCCCGCUGUUGGAGACGCCCACGUGUCCCAAAACCUUCCAGACUCUCGAGACGUCAACUUCGAGGCAGUGCAGAGCACCUCCCAGGACAGAGAGUACCAGGUUUUUCUCAUGGUGCUGGGUGCUGUGGUGCUUUGGGAGCUGUUGGCCGCUUUCCUGGAACGGACCAUGGAUGAGAGUGUCUACGAGUACCUGGACUUUGUGGACGCCACGGACAGCCGCAUUCCCAGGAGAAGCACCCGUGCUCCCGGGCUGGCCAAAGCGCUGUCCCUGCUGCGGGGGGACGGCCGGGCGCUGCUGUUCGCGGGCACCGUGUUCCUCGUGGGUGCUGCCGGCUCUGCCGGGCACAACUUCCUCCUGUGGCAGCUGCAGGACCAGGGCAGCAGCGGGCUCCUCAUGGGGCUCUGGGUGGGGCUGGGCCCGCUGGCAGAGCUGGCCCUUCACCCGCUCCGGGGGCAGCUGCUGCGGGCGCUGCCGGGCUGCGGGCUGGAGCUGCUGAGCCUGGCCGUGCUGGCAGCGCAGCUCCUGAGCUAUUCCCUGCUCCGCGCUCCCUGGGCAGCGCUGCCCGUGCAGGCGCUGUCCGGCCUCAGCAGCGGGGCGCUGCGGUGGCGGCUGCAGGGGACAGUGGGGGACGUGGCCACGCCGGGCUCGGAGCGCGCCCUGCUCGCCCUGCUCGGGGGGCUCUGCGCGGCCGGAGCCGGCCUGGGCGGCUUGGGGGGGGGCUUUGUGCUGCAGCGCUUCGGGCUGGCGCUGCUGCUCCAGGCCAGCUGCGCGGGGCUGGGGCUCUGGAUCCUCUUCGUCCUAAUCGUCCGAUCCAGAUUGCCCCGGCGGAGAAAAAUUAAUUAUUCCCGGCUGCUGGCUGCUGAGUCCAGUGAAAUGAGUGACUCUGAGGAGGAGAACGAGGACUGGCUGGUAAAGGCUAUGAGGGAUGAGAGCUUUAACAGGAAUUGGAUACAGCAGCAUGGGAUCAAGUAAUCUGUACCUAACUCUGUGGGGUGGAGAGGGAACCUGGUGUAAUGAUAAUAUCCAGAAAUCACCGACAAUUCUAAAGUGCUAAAUAUAUUCAGGCUAGAAGAGAUUUUUAUUUUAAUGAAACCCGAACAAACCCAUAAAUCUUAUUUUCUUACUUUAUAUCAUUCCAUCUUUUUUUGGUAAUAUUUCCUUUUUAACUUGAUGAUUUUGCCUCCAAAAUCGCAAAAGGAUAUUUCAGGUGUAUAUUGGUUAAAUUAAUGUAGCUGAAUUUUCAGUCAAAAACCAAACUUGGAAGGUUGCUGCCAGAGCUGCUGCUGAGGUUGUGAGUGACAGUUGUGACCCAGGCUGUGACACAACCAAAUGGAAAUUAUUGACAGCACACAGAACUCUUCCAAGGUGGCUGUGAACUUUUUGCACUUUUUAAGGGAUGCAAAUAAAAAACUGGCUCAUUUUUAAAAGCAGGUUUUGCCACAGACUGUCUGCUGUGUCGUGUUCUGUGAUUUCAGUGAGCUCCUGCUUGGAAUCUGCUGGGAAAACCCUCCCGGUGUGCUCAGAGCCAGCGGCUGGCCCGGCCCACCUGGGCACUUCCUGGAGGUGAUUUAAGGUGUCGCGGCGUUCCAGGUGACAGGAAGCAGCCGGGCCUCCCGACUGGGAUCACUUCUGUGGGCUGGGACUUUCCGGAGGGUGGGAUGGGAUAUCCGGCCAGCCUGGCACUGCUGCCUGGAUCCUGAGCAGGGCUGCUCCCAGGCAAGGAUAGCCACAGCCCCAAAAGAGAAAGGGAGGUUUGUGCCUGCCCCUCAUUAACCAGGACCCCAAAGCAACACCUGGGCACAGGUGCGCAAGCCGAGAGCAGCACUCGGUCCAUGCCAGAGGAUCUCCUGCACACUGAGUUAUCCCACCUUAUUCCCAGUUGGAAGUCACUGGCUUCCAGCCUUCCUCUUUUAACUCAUUCCUGGGUUAAACUUCCUUACCUGCGCUCCCUUCACCUCCAAGGCACAGGUUUCAGCCCCUCUCCAGGAGGUAAGUUCUGUUUAUCAAUUAAAAAUCGGUGGUCUGAUGUCAUCAAAAGAUCUUAAAUGGGGUUUAAAUGAGCUUUGGAGUCCCUUCAGCCGCCAGCAAACGCUGCUGUCAGUUGAUCAGGUGCUCUUUGGUCAGGGAAUCGCAUCAUUCCUGUGCAGAGGGAUGGAUUUUAGUAACAUCUGCCUGAGAGGCUCACAAGCCCCGAGACAGGCAGCAGCAAAAAGCAGAGUAUUUAUGGAAAUGUAUAUUUAAUAUGGCAUAUGCAAAAGGGCUGGCAGUGCAUCACCCUGCCGUGCUGUGGGCUCUGCAGGAAGCGCUGGAGACAAGGAAAAGACUCCCGGGCGAUAAUUCCUUUCUGUGUAUGCAUCGAUCCCGCGUUAUCUGCACAUCAGAUGCUUUCAGGGUAAUUAGCUCCCUCUCUUCCUGGCACCGAUCCUCAGCCAGCACAAUGCGCUGCUGGAAUGGCUCUAUAGAUAGAAUUGUCCCCGUGC
rnacentral:lncRNA from 12 species